UUUCACUUCACUAAUGAAGCCAGAGAAAUGGGUGUGAUUGCUGCCAUGAGAGAUGGUUUUGGUUUCACCAAGUGUGUGGAUCGAGGUGCUCGAAUGUUCUUCCACUUCAGUGAAAUUCUAGAUGGAAACCAGCUCCACAUUGCAGAUGUGGUUCCUGAUAUGCUCUCUGCCAAAAGAAAUCAUCCUAUUAGGAUUAAAAAAACUUCCCACGGGCACAGUUUCAUUCCAUUCCCAUUCAGAUCAUCAUUUUCUGGGCACUCUAGGAAAAGAAGCCACUUUCUCCAAUCCUAAAACUACUAGCCCAAAUAAAAACAAGGAGGCCAAGGCUUAUGAUGACUGUGGGGUGAAGCUGACUAUUGAUUUUCAAGCCAAGGAUGUAGAAGGAUCUACUUCUCCUCAAAUAGGAGAUAAGGUUGAAUUUAGUAUUAGUGACAAACAGAGGCCUGGACAGAAGGUUGCAACUUGUGUGCUACUUUUAGGUCAUAAUUCUAACUCCAAAAGGCUCUUGGCUUAUGUGGCAACUCUGAAAGAUAAUUUUGAAUUUAUUGAAAGAGCCAAUCAUGAUAAAGAAAGCUUUUUCCAUUAUGGUGAGUUCUCUGGUGAUGUUGAUAGCCUAGAACUGGGGGACAUGGUUGAAUAUAGCUUGUCCAAAGGCAAAGGCAAUAAAGUCAGUGCUGAGAAAGUCAACAAAACUCACUCAGUGAACAGCAUUACUGAGGAAGCUGAUUCCACCAUCUACUCUGGUAAGGUCAUUCACCCUCUGAGGGGUGUUGAUCCAAUGCAGAUUGAGUACCAAGGAAUGAUUGAGAUUGUGGAGGAGGAGGUUAUGAAAGGUGAGGUGUAUCCAUUUGGCAUAGUUGGAAUAGCUAACAAAGGGGAUUGCCUACAGAAAGGGGAGACUCCCAGUGCACUUCCCAUAACUGUCAUGUUCUAGUUACGUGCCCUGGGAUGAAAUGCACAAACUAUGGCCUACAACAUCACAUGCCUUUGUAGGGCCACUGUGGAGUGUGUGAAAGAUCAGUUUGGCUUUAUUAACUAUGAAUUAGGAGACAGCAAGAAGCUCUUUUUCCAUGUGAAAGAAGUUCAAGAUGGCAUUGGGCUACAGGCAGGAGAUGAGGUGGAGUUCUCCGGGAUCCCAAUCAGUACACUGAGAAAUGCAGUGCUUGUAAUGUUUGGAGAGUCUGUUAGGGUCCCAAAGCUAUUGCAGCUCCUCUAUCUGAUCAGUUGGUCAAUUGUUUGAAGAAUAUCACCCUAGAUGAUGCCAGUGCUCCUCGCCUAAUGGUUCUUCAUCAGCCAAGGGGACAAGGCAACUCAUUGGGAUUUGGUGCAGAAAGACAGAUCCAUCAAGCUGUUGUCACUGACUAA